CACCUAUAAUUGCUCUUAGUAUAGAUAUUGUUUAAAUGGUUUGAAGGUAGGCCCUCCUCUGUGCUCUUUGGGUUAUCCGUUUUGAAAAGUCUUUUUUUUUUUUGUAAGUAUUUUCCCCCUCAAGUUCUAUUGAUAGUAGGUUGAGGUAUGCCCAUUUUAUAGUUGGAGGAUAUAAGAUGCAGUCUUUGUCUAGGAACAGUCAAGCACAGUGAAGGGAUCAUAAUAGAAGCAAACACUGAGUAUUUCCCAUGCACCAAGUGCUAGAAGGAUAAAGGAAUAAGAACAGUUUGCUUUGUCUUCAAGGAGCUCGCAAAACAGUUUAAUGGACAGAGGGUGAGUAAAUGAGCCAUGUUUGAUGAUGGCAUUUUCCANNNNNNNNNNNNACUUUUUGUCUCAUGUGCUUUUUAAAAUCCAGUUGAAUUAAGGUCUUAAGACACGAUUUAUGUGGCAGCCUAAAUGACAUAAUUGACUUAAGAGAUGAGUGAAAUGUUCAUAUUGUGUUCUAACAGAUGAAGGGUAGUUGGUAUUCCUGAAUCUACCAGGUAUUGUAUAUUAUUAGUUUGAAGAAACUUUUAUCCUUUCCUUCAAUAAUUGUGUUAUAUUCUGUAAUUUUGCCUGAAAUAAAACUGAUACUUUAGUCAUAAAUGUUAAAUGGAUCCUACUUCCUCUAGCUGUUUAUUGAAUGCGAUACAAACUCCAUGAUACAGCAUUUGUAGUCUUUCAGAUCAUGGUCCCAACGUGUUUUCAGUCUUAUCCCCCCACUGCAGCUGCAGAUAUGUUAUGUUCCAGCUAGACUGGUCCUCAACAUGCCCUGUACUUCUCUGCCUUCCUGGAAGACUUUUGCUCUUGUUUCUCUCAUCUGAAAUAUGCUAGCCUCUCCCCCUCCCUCCAGUUUCUGCCUGCCGGAAUAAUAUUUGUUAUUUUUUCAAUCAGUCAUUUAACAAAUAUUGCAAUACUGUUCUGUGGUCUUGGAUACACCAAAGAACAUUAUGGCAUUCAUAUUCAGUUGAGGGAGGCAUGUAGUAAAUGUGUGUCUACUGGU
rnacentral:lncRNA from 1 species